CUUCAGCCAAAGAAACAAGCCGUGGAAUAGGUGUAUCAAGUAAUGGUGCAAAGCCUGAAAAAUCAUGAAUGUGGUCUGCAGACAUUGAUGAAGAAAAUCUGUUGGUAAUUGAUACAUGGGCUAAAGCAUCAGAGGUUUAAUUUGAAGUUUAUGUUCACACACUGAAAACUUAGUUUUUUUGUUGGUAGAUCCAUGUGCAUGCUAGAAUUUGGGACAGGCACUAUUUGCAUAAAGUAUUAAAGUCAAUUUUUAAACUAAGCAAAGGUACACGUUGUAACGGUGGGGCAUCUGUGAAAAAGAUGUCCCUUUCAUAAUAUAUGCAAUAUAUUCCAGAUGUUUUGAGAGAUUACAGAAGAGGAGGCCUGCUUCACUUGCAGAUAAGUUUAUUAUAAUUCUCCAGAAAUGUGCAGGAUGUGCAUUAGCAAAUUGCACUGUACUUUUCACUCCAGCCUGGGUGACAGAGCAAGACUCCCGUCUCGGGGGCUUA
rnacentral:lncRNA from 1 species